rnacentral:rRNA from 1 species
UGCAGUCGAGCGACAGAUGAAGUGCUUGCACUUCUGACGUUAGCGGCGAACGGGUGAGUAACACGUAAGGAAUCUACCUAUAAGCGGGGGAUAACAUUCGGAAACGGGUGCUAAUACCGCAUAAUAUCUUCUUCCGCAUGGAAGAAGAUUGAAAGACGGCUCUGCUGUCACUUAUAGAUGACCUUGCGGUGCAUUAGUUAGUUGGUGGGGUAACGGCCUACCAAGACGAUGAUGCAUAGCCGACCUGAGAGGGUGAUCGGCCACAUUGGGACUGAGACACGGCCCAAACUCCUACGGGAGGCAGCAGUAGGGAAUCUUCCGCAAUGGGCGAAAGCCUGACGGAGCAAUGCCGCGUGAGUGAAGAAGGCCUUCGGGUCGUAAAACUCUGUUAUAAGAGAAGAACAAAUUGUAGAGUAACUGCUACAGUCUUGACGGUAUCUUAUCAGAAAGCCACGGCUAACUACGUGCCAGCAGCCGCGGUAAUACGUAGGUGGCAAGCGUUGUCCGGAUUUAUUGGGCGUAAAGGGAGCGCAGGUGGUUUCUUAAGUCUGAUGUGAAAGCCCACGGCUUAACCGUGGAGGGUCAUUGGAAACUGGGAAACUUGAGUACAGAAGAGGAAUGUGGAACUCCAUGUGUAGCGGUGGAAUGCGUAGAUAUAUGGAAGAACACCAGUGGCGAAGGCGACAUUCUGGUCUGUUACUGACACUGAGGCUCGAAAGCGUGGGGAGCAAACAGGAUUAGAUACCCUGGUAGUCCACGCCGUAAACGAUGAGUGCUA